UACGUAGGUGGCAAGCGUUGUCCGGAUUUAUUGGGCGUAAAGAGCUCGUAGGCGGUUCGCUAAGUCGGGUGUGAAACCUCCAGGCUCAACCUGGAGACGCCACCUGAUACUGGUGUGACUCGAGUCCGGUAGGGGAGCGUGGAAUUCCUGGUGUAGCGGUGAAAUGCGCAGAUAUCAGGAGGAACACCAGCGGCGAAGGCGGCGCUCUGGGCCGGAACUGACGCUGAGGAGCGAAAGCGUGGGUAGCAAACAGG
rnacentral:rRNA from 1 species